CUGUCCUGGAGCCAGAACUGGAGACCCACCUCCUUUGAGCUGCCCUGCAUGCCAUCUUCACCCUGGGCACGGAGAAGGACACCACCCAAGUCCAGGAUCUGCAUAGGGUCUUGCCAGACCUCCUGGAUGCCAUGCUGGAGAACCUGCUGACGGAGUCCCCAGACACCGACAGGCUCCACUUCAUCUUGGAGCACAUCAACUUCUGGAUCGUGUCCAGGGUGUCGCAGGAGAGAGCCAGGGCCAUUAGGAGCAGCACGGCCCUGCUCAGAUCCA